UACGGGGGGAGCAAGCGUUGUUCGGAUUUACUGGGCGUAAAGGGCGCGUAGGCGGAUGUGUCAGUCAGGGGUGAAAUCCCGGGGCUCAACCUCGGAACUGCCUUUGAUACAGCACGUCUCGAGUCCGGAAGAGGUGGGUGGAAUUCCUAGUGUAGAGGUGAAAUUCGUAGAUAUUAGGAAGAACACCGGUGGCGAAGGCGGCAUCCUGGACCGAUACUGACGCUGAGGAGCGAAAGCCAGGGGAGCAAACGGG
rnacentral:rRNA from 1 species